GUGAAGAACGCAGCGAAAUGCGAUAAGUAAUGUGAAUUGCAGAAUUCAGUGAAUCAUCGAAUCUUUGAACGCACAUUGCGCCCGCCAGUAUUCUGGCGGGCAUGCCUGUUCGAGCGUCAUUUCAACCAUCAAGCCCCCGGGCUUGUGUUGGGGACCUGCGGCUGCCGCAGGCCCUGAAAACCAGUGGCGGGCUCGCUAGUCACUCCGAGCGUAGUAGUUACAUCUCGCUCAGGGCGUGCUGCGGGUUCCGGCCGUUAAAAGCCUUUUACCCCAAGGUUGACCUCGGAUCAGGUAGGAAGACCCGCUGAACUUAAGCAUAUCAAUAAGCGGAGGA
rnacentral:misc_RNA from 1 species